rnacentral:lncRNA from 1 species
ACAUGGGGUGGGGGGGUUGUUCAGGUCCUGUCAGGUCACAGCACAUUGAAGUUGGGUUGGAAAGGUCCUUAAAGUUCAUAGAAACAUGGGAUCAUGGAAUGGUUGGGUUGGAAAGGUCCUUAAAGAUCACAGAACACUGAGGCUGUGCUGUUCGGGUCCUGGCAGGUCACAGAACACUGAGGUUGUGUUGGGCAGGUCCUUAAAGGUCACAGCACACUGGGGUUGUAUUGUUAAGGUCCUUACAGAUCACAACACACAGUUGUGCCAUCCAGGUCCUGGCAGGUCACAACAUGGUUGUGCCGUUCAGGUCCUUACAGAUCACAGCACACAGCUGUACCAUCCAGGUCCUGUCAGGUCACAACACACAGCUGUACCAUCCAGGUCCUUACAGAUCACAGCACACAGCUGUCCCAUCCAGGUCCUGUCAGAUCACAGCACACAGCUGUACCAUCCAGGUCCUGUCAGAUCACAGCACACAGUUGUACCAUCCAGGUCCUUACAGGUCACAACACACAGCUGUGCCAUCCAGGUCCUUACAGAUCACAACACACAGCUGUGCCAUCCAGGUCCUGGCAGGUCACAACACACAGCUGU